UUGCUUCAGCAGCACAUAUACUAAAAUUAGAAUGACACAGAGAAGAUUAACAUGGCCCCUGCGCAAGGAUGACACACAAAUUCUAGAGCGCUCCAAUGGCUUC